GGGUUUACUCAUUGGUCAGGCUUAAUUGUCUGUACUGGUGAGAUGAGUCUCUACCUUCUGAGGAACUUUCAUGCCAUUUAUUUGGUGUGGUUGGAAAUCAGGACUGUUACUUUGAAAAAAUUAGAGUGUUCAAAACAAGCUUAUGCUUGAAUACAUUAGCAUGGAAUAACGGAAUAGGAC
rnacentral:rRNA from 1 species